GAAAUGCGAUAACUAGUGUGAAUUGCAGAAUUCCGUGAAUCAUCGAGUCUUUGAACGCACAUUACGCCCCCUGGUAUUCCGGGGGGCAUGCCUGUCCGAGCGUCAUUGCUGCCCAUCAAGCACGGCUUGUGUGUUGGGUCGUCGUCCCCUCUCCGGGGGGGACGGGCCCCAAAGGCAGCGGCGGCACCGCGUCCGAUCCUCGAGCGUAUGGGGCUUUGUCACCCGCUCUGUAGGCCCGGCCGGCGCUUGCCGAACGCAAAUCAAUCUUUUUCCAGGUUGACCUCGGAUCAGGUAGGGAUACCCGCUGAACUUAAGC
rnacentral:misc_RNA from 1 species